GAAUUUUGGACAAUGGGGGAAACCCUGAUCCAGCCAUCCCGCGUGUGCGAUGAAGGCCUUCGGGUUGUAAAGCACUUUUGGCAGGGAAGAAAAGGUUCUGGCUAAUACCCGGAACUGCUGACGGUACCGACAGAAUAAGCACCGGCCAACUUCGUGCCAGCAGCCGCGGUAAUACGAAGGGUGCAAGCGUUAAUCGGAAUUACUGGGCGUAAAGCGCGCGUAGGUGGUUUGUUAAGUUGGAAGUGAAAGCCCCGGGCUCAACCUGGGAACUGCCUUUGUGACUGCAAGGCUAGAGUACGGCAGAGGUGGGUGGAAUUCCGCGUGUAGCAGUGAAAUGCGUAGAUAUGCGGAGGAACACCGAUGGCGAAGGCAACCCCCUGGGCCUGUACUGACGCUCAUGCACGAAAGCGUGGGGAGCAAACAG
rnacentral:rRNA from 1 species